CUAAGCCUCUAAUAUAUCUAUUACAGGUUGUUAAUGUGUUGCCUACCAUAUGCUUUGGCUACCAAUGUCAUGUAAGCAGUGUUCCAAUAUACUCAUGUUUAAAAAAACAAGAUGGUCCAACAUUUGCAAAGGCUUGUACGUCAGCAAUUUUUGUUUGCUUGACUAUUUACACAAUAUCAGCAAAUUACGGGUAUCUCACGUUUGGAUCACUUGUGAAUGGAGAUGUUCUCUUGUCAUACGAUGCUAGAAAGGUACAUGUGUUUGUUGCAGUUAUUCUUUUAGGAAUCAAAUCAUGGACAACUUACCCAAUUCUCCUGUUUUGUGUUAGGGAGGCAGUAAGUGACCUUUACAUACAAAUGAAAUCCUUGUCUCCUGUUGAAGCAUCACUCAACGAACCUGCUCGAAGAAGGAUUAUCGCCAUAGUACUGUGGGUAUCAUCAAUACUAAUGGCAGCCUUUACGCCCAAUAUUGAUAUUGUGGUAAAACUUCUUGGGAGCUUAGCUGCAUUCUUCAUAUUUGUGUUUCCAGGUGA